CUGGAGGUAUCAGAAGUGCGAAUGCUGACAUAAGUAACGAUAAAGCGGGUGAAAAGCCCGCUCGCCGGAAGACCAAGGGUUCCUGUCCAACGUUAAUCGGGGCAGGGUGAGUCGACCCCUAAGGCGAGGCCGAAAGGCGUAGUCGAUGGGAAACAGGUUAAUAUUCCUGUACUUGGUGUUACUGCGAAGGGGGGACGGAGAAGGCUAUGUUGGCCGGGCGACGGUUGUCCCGGUUUAAGCGUGUAGGCUGGUUUUCCAGGCAAAUCCGGAAAAUCAAGGCUGAGGCGUGAUGACGAGGCACUACGGUGCUGAAGCAACAAAUGCCCUGCUUCCAGGAAAAGCCUCUAAGCAUCAGGUAACAUCAAAUCGUACCCCAAACCGACACAGGUGGUCAGGUAGAGAAUACCAAGGCGCUUGAGAGAACUCGGGUGAAGGAACUAGGCAAAAUGGUGCCGUAACUUCGGGAGAAGGCACGCUGAUAUGUAGGUGAGGUCCCUCGCGGAUGGAGCUGAAAUCAGUCGAAGAUACCAGCUGGCUGCAACUGUUUAUUAAAAACACAGCACUGUGCAAACACGAAAGUGGACGUAUACGGUGUGACGCCUGCCCGGUGCCGGAAGGUUAAUUGAUGGGGUUAGCGCAAGCGAAGCUCUUGAUCGAAGCCCCGGUAAACGGCGGCCGUAACUAUAACGGUCCUAAGGUAGCGAAAUUCCUUGUCGGGUAAGUUCCGACCUGCACGAAUGGCGUAAUGAUGGCCAGGCUGUCUCCACCCGAGACUCAGUGAAAUUGAACUCGCUGUGAAGAUGCAGUGUACCCGCGGCAAGACGGAAAGACCCCGUGAACCUUUACUAUAGCUUGACACUGAACAUUGAGCCUUGAUGUGUAGGAUAGGUGGGAGGCUUAGAAGUGUGGACGCCAGUCUGCAUGGAGCCGACCUUGAAAUACCACCCUUUAAUGUUUGAUGUUCUAACGUUGACCCGUAAUCCGGGUUGCGGACAGUGUCUGGUGGGUAGUUUGACUGGGGCGGUCUCCUCCUAAAGAGUAACGGAGGAGCACGAAGGUUGGCUAAUCCUGGUCGGACAUCAGGAGGUUAGUGCAAUGGCAUAAGCCAGCUUGACUGCGAGCGUGACGGCGCGAGCAGGUGCGAAAGCAGGUCAUAGUGAUCCGGUGGUUCUGAAUGGAAGGGCCAUCGCUCAACGGAUAAAAGGUACUCCGGGGAUAACAGGCUGAUACCGCCCAAGAGUUCAUAUCGACGGCGGUGUUUGGCACCUCGAUGUCGGCUCAUCACAUCCUGGGGCUGAAGUAGGUCCCAAGGGUAUGGCUGUUCGCCAUUUAAAGUGGUACGCGAGCUGGGUUUAGAACGUCGUGAGACAGUUCGGUCCCUAUCUGCCGUGGGCGCUGGAGAACUGAGGGGGGCUGCUCCUAGUACGAGAGGACCGGAGUGGACGCAUCACUGGUGUUCGGGUUGUCAUGCCAAUGGCACUGCCCGGUAGCUAAAUGCGGAAGAGAUAAGUGCUGAAAGCAUCUAAGCACGAAACUUGCCCCGAGAUGAGUUCUCCCUGACUCCUUGAGAGUCCUGAAGGAACGUUGAAGACGACGACGUUGAUAGGCCGGGUGUGUAAGCGCAGCGAUGCGUUGAGCUAACCGGUACUAAUGAACCGUGAGG
rnacentral:rRNA from 1 species